UAUAUAAAGUUAAUAGAUAAAUCAGAUUUUCACUUUUUAAUGUAAUGAUUAUUUAUUUAAAACAUUUAUUUAUAAAUUAAUAAUAACGACCAAGUCUACUUUAUCGACGCGAUUAUGUCAUCUACAUUACCGACUCAAGAAAUUGACAUUUCACCUAUUAAUGUAAAUUUAAGGUUAAAUUUUGUUGAUAAAGCGUUAAUAACAAUUAAAAUAAGCACUACAUUGCAUUCAUUUAAUUAAAAAUGGGCGACUCCACACCAAUUUGGGACGAAGAAGCUUUAAAAUUAUACAAAGAAUCCAACAACGAAGGAAUUUAUUAUCCAACAAACCAUGUUUCGUAAAGAUCGAAAAGUGAUUCUUCCGUUUUACACGAAAAUGCGUGACUGCAAAAAAUGGAUUUUUUAGGGAUGAAAUUUUCGCUUUAUUUCAUUUGAUUUGAAGAAGCUGAGGAUAUAGUCGGGGAAUUAGGUUCGAAAGGAUUGAAUUUUGAAUAACAAAGCUGUUUAAAAAGUAACACAAUCAAUUAAUAAUUAAUUUAAUUUUGCAUGAAGUCUACUUUAUCGACUCGAUUAAGUCAUCUAUAUUACCGACUCAAAAAUUGACAUUUCACUUUUUAAUCUAAAUUUGAGGUUAUAUUUUGUUGAUAAAACCUUAAUAACAAUUAAAAUAAGAUUCAUUUAAUUAAAAAUGGGCGAUUUCAUUCCAAUUUCGAAGAAACAAAGAUAAUUUGUGUUUAAGCUUUUGAAGAAUUUGCGGUGGUGUUAAGGCGGUAUUUGGAUGAUUUAAAUAAUUCACAACGUUUGAAAUCUUUUUAAAAACGGGGCGCAAGAACCAAAAUGUUCAAAACAUCACUUUAAUGUUGGAUCUUCAAGCGCGAUUUGAAAGUUUCCACCACAAUUACUUGGAUAACUUAUUAAAAUAUCAUCAUUUAUGAUUUCUUUAACCGGAAUUGAUGAAUUAAUUGAAGUUAUCUUACUAAAUGAUUGCUGGAGGAAGUGACAUUACAGAUUGAUAAAGGAUUUUAACACUAAUGUGAGUGAUUAAAACAAUUAUUAAUCUCAUUUUUACACAAAGAAAUGUUUUUAAAUAAUUAACAAGAUUAAGUAAAGUUGAUUUGACUUAUUUAAGGAAGGGAGUGUAUUUAUAAUAAUUCAGGGUUUAAAUUCGAUAUGUUAAAUUCACGUUUCUUAUUAUAUAUUUAAAUUAUUGUUAAAUUUUGUUUAAUAUUAGUAAUAUCUAUAAACAAUAAUUUUGUAUUUAUUUUGACAAUAUCGAUUACAGAAAACUGUAAUAUAUGUUGGUAAAAUAGAAAUCUGUACAAGUGCUAAUUUAUAUUAAUAAAUAAAAUUGUUGCAA